rnacentral:lncRNA from 1 species
CCAAGGUUAAGUUUGGAGUCAUCGAACAUGAUAAAUCAAAAUUAUCAAAAUCUUAAAUACAGAACCAGAUUGGAGCAGCCACUACAUUGUAAAGACAUGUAGUUGUGUUACACAUGUGUAUAGAAGAACAAUAAGCAUGCCUCGUUCAGAUAUAUAUGCACUGUUCUUUGUUUUGAAUGAAAGGACAAAACAUCUGUACUGAUACCAGGUUGUAUCUUGUAUGUUCCAUGUAUGAGAGUGUAAUCUUCCCAACUUGCCACACGGCUGCAAGCGUCAUGUUCGUGCAUGGCUGACCAGAGUAAUUGAUGAACUCAAAGAAUAUGAAGUCAAUUAGCCUGUGAAAGUAAGACUAUGCAGGCAUAGAUGAUCUUGCUUCUCUGGAAGCGCCAUAUAUAGUCUGCAUUCUGAAAAGGCAUCAAUUAAACCGUUAUACCAAUCGAAAAAUGGAGAAAUUGAGAAGAAAAAAUCUUAUCUGAACAAAAGAAAAAUAUAUCCCUCAUUGUUUGUUAACCUUACCUAUCACAUUCAGAUCAGCCUGUAUCAUCUUGAGCUUGUAUCGAACAAUCAGAUCAAAAUGCCAAGGUUAAGUUUGGAGUCAUCGAACAUGAUAAAUCAAAAUUAUCAAAAUCUUAAAUACAGAACCAGAUUGGAGCAGCCACUACAUUGUAAAGACAUGUAGUUGUGUUACACAUGUGUAUAGAAGAACAAUAAGCUAUAAAUAAAUAAAAAUUAGUAUUUUCAAGUUAGAGUGAUCAAGUACAGGUGUUGUUCUUGUUAGAUAAAUAUGUAAGAGGCUAAGAAAGAUAGCAUAUUUACAAGCGACUGCCGUUAACGCACUAAUUUUUUUGGCGAGCAGGGCGACGCGCUCACCAGACGACCUUGUCGGUGGAGAUGGCGCGGAAGAGCGGAAGCGAUUUGCCGACGACAGCGAUGCAGCAGCAGGUUAGAGCGACGCUAUUGGUGUCGGGAGCAAUGGCGGGCAGGGGGCAAGGCGUCGAGCGGUGGGGGAGAGAGACGGCCACCAAGGCAUGGGAUUAUGGGAAGGAGACUGGGAGAGGGAUCUGGAAGCUUCGGGGCCAAUCCCAGCAAGCAAAAUGGACGAGGGAAAGGGAAGAGAGCUCUUCGGGAAGGGGAAUGUGGAGGGGACGACGAACCCUAGCAAGGAAAACGAAUGGGGGGGAAGGGGAAGAGCCGUCACGCUUACCGGGACUGUUGGAGCACUAGCGGCGGGGUCUGGAGCCUUGUCGCCAGAGUCGCGGGCGGGCGAGGAAUGUCGCCGCAGUCGCAGACGAGCGAGGAAGGGUGGGUACGGGGGGAG